GUCAGUCUACUACCGUACAUUCAGCGUGACUAACACCCCACAGUACCAUGUUGAGGUCAGUCUACUACCGUACAUACAGCGUGACUAACACCCCACAGUACCAUGUUGAGGUCAGUCUACUACCGUACAUACAGCGUGACUAACACCCCACAGUACCAUGUUGAGGUCAGUCUACUACCGUACAUACAGCGUGACUAACACCCCACAGUACCAUGUUGAGGUCAGUCUACUACCGUACAUACAGCGUGACUAACACCCCACAGUACCAUGUUGAGGUCAGUCUACUACCGUACAUACAGCGUGACUAACACCCCACAGUACCAUGUUGAGGUCAGUCUACUACCGUACAUACAGCGUGACUAACACCCCACAGUACCAUGUUGAGGUCAGUCUACUACCGUACAUACAGCGUGACUACCACCCCACAGUACCAUGUUGAGGUCAGUCUACUACCGUACAUACAGCGUGACUACCACCAUGUUGAGGUCAGUCUACUACCGUACAUACAGCGUGACUACCACCAUGUUGAGGUCAGUCUACUACCGUACAUACAGCGUGACUACCACCAUGUUGAGGUCAGUCUACUACCGUACAUACAGCGUGACUACCACCCCACAGUACCAUGUUGAGGUCAGUCUACUACCGUACAUACAGCGUGACUACCACCAUGUUGAGGUCAGUCUACUACCGUACAUACAGCGUGACUACCACCAUGUUGAGGUCAGUCUACUACCGUACAUACAGCGUGACUAACACCAUCUUGAGGUCAGUCUACUACCGUACAUACAGCGUGACUACCACCAUGUUGAGGUCAGUCUACUACCGUACAUACAGCGUGACUACCACCAUGUUGAGGUCAGUCUACCACCGUACAUACAGCGUGACUAACACCCCACAGUACCAUGUUGAGGUCAGUCUACUACCGUACAUACAGCGUGACUACCACCAUGUUGAGGUCAGUCUACUACCGUACAUACAGCGUGACUAACACCCCACAGUACCAUGUGGAGGUCAGUCUACUACCGUACAUACAGCGUGACUACCACCAUGUUGAGGUCAGUCUACCACCGUACAUACAGCGUGACUAACACCCCACAGUACCAUGUUGAGGUCAGUCUACUACCGUACAUUCACAAUGUGUUAGUGGUAGGGUACAGAUUGUUACUAAUCUGUGUCCCAAACCCUCUCCCAUCUCUCCUAUCCCCUCUGUGUCCCAAACCCUC